UUCCGUAUCGGAAUAACACGUGCGAAGUUGGAAAACGGAUAUGGCUGGUGCAAAGCACGUGAGCCGGAAAAGGCAAUUACUUUGCAGCCUGUAAGUGGUGCAAACUAUAAUCAAGCUCUUCUGUGCCGUUCCCGUAGACUACGGGAGACUUGAUACCGGAAUAAUGCGUGCGAAGCCGGAUCGGGGGGCGUUUCCGUAUCGGAAUAACACGUGCGAAGUUGGAAAACGGAUAUGGCUGGUGCAAAGCACGUGAGCCGGAAAAGGCAAUUACUUUGCAGCCUGUAAGUGGUGCAAACUAUAAUCAAGCUCUUCUGUGCCAUUCCUGUAGACUACGGGAGACUUGAUACCGGAAUAAUGCGUGCGAAGCCGGAUCGGGGGGCGUUUCCGUAUCGGAAUAACACGUGCGAAGUUGGAAAACGGAUAUGGCUGGUGCAAAGCACGUGAGCCGGAAAAGGCAAUUACUUUGCAGCCUGUAAGUGGUGCAAACUAUAAUCAAGCUCUUCUGUGCCGUUCCCGUAGACUACGGGAGACUUGAUACCGGAAUAAUGCGUGCGAAGCCGGAUCGGGGGGCGUUUCCGUAUCGGAAUAACACGUGCGAAGUUGGAAAACGGAUAUGGCUGGUGCAAAGCACGUGAGCCGGAAAAGGCAAUUACUUUGCAGCCUGUAAGUGGUGCAAACUAUAAUCAAGCUCUUCUGUGCCGUUCCCGUAGACUACGGGAGACUUGAUACCGGAAUAAUGCGUGCGAAGCCGGAUCGGGGGGCGUUUCCGUAUCGGAAUAACACGUGGGAAGUUGGAAAACGGAUAUGGCUGGUGCAAAGCACGUGAGCCGGAAAAGGCAAUUACUUUGCAGCCUGUAAGUGGUGCAAACUAUAAUCAAGCUCUUCUGUGCCGUUCCCGUAGACUACGGGAGACUUGAUACCGGAAUAAUGCGUGCGAAGCCGGAUCGGGGGGCGUUUCCGUAUCGGAAUAACACGUGCGAAGUUGGAAAACGGAUAUGGCUGGUGCAAAGCACGUGAGCCGGAAAAGGCAAUUACUUUGCAGCCUGUAAGUGGUGCAAACUAUAAUCAAGCUCUUCUGUGCCAUUCCUGUAGACUACGGGAGACUUGAUACCGGAAUAAUGCGUGCGAAGCCGGAUCGGGGGGCGUUUCCGUAUCGGAAUAACACGUGCGAAGUUGGAAAACGGAUAUGGCUGGUGCAAAGCACGUGAGCCGGAAAAGGCAAUUACUUUGCAGCCUGUAAGUGGUGCAAACUAUAAUCAAGCUCUUCUGUGCCGUUCCCGUAGACUACGGGAGACUUGAUACCGGAAUAAUGCGUGCGAAGCCGGAUCGGGGGGCGUUUCCGUAUCGGAAUAACACGUGCGAAGUUGGAAAACGGAUAUGGCUGGUGCAAAGCACGUGAGCUGGAAAAGGCAAUUACUUUGCAGCCUGUAAGUGGUGCAAACUAUAAUCAAGCUCUUCUGUGCCAUUCCCGUAGACUCUGGGGUUUUCCGUAUCGGAAAUAACACGUGUGAAGCCAGAUCGGGGAUGGCUGGCGCAAAGUUUGUAAGACGGAAAAAGCAUUAAUUUUUCAGCAUGGCGUUUCCGUAUCGGAAAUAACACGUGUGAAGCCAGAUCGGGGAUGGCUGGCGCAAAGUUUGUAAGCCGGAAAAGGCAUUAAUUUUUCAGCAUGUAAGUGGUACAAACUUUAAUUAUGUUUACCUGUGCCAUUCCGUUAUAUGCUGGUAAUGUAAUUCUUGAUCCGCUCUGCAAUAAUGGUCUCGUGUCGUAUACGAUGAGUGUGAAGUGCGCUGGAUCUUCAGUUAUGCUGAUUGCAGGGUGUUUCUGUUACGGAACAACAUGUACCGACCUGGAUCGGGGAUGAGCGGCGCAAUCCAGGGUGUUUCCCUAUUGCGCAAAGCUCGUGAGCUGGGAAAGGCAUUAACUACGCAGCAUGUAAGUGGGACAAGCUUUAAUUAUGCUCGACUGUGCCGUUCCGUUAGACUCUGGUAAUGUAACUCUUUAUCUGCUCUGCAAUAAUGGUGUCGUGUAGUAUACGAUGAAGUUUGGUUCUACACUGUUUUGUUUUCUUCCUCAUUGGUUGAGUAUAAAUUUGUUGCAUCUGGUCUGGACUCUAAAAACGUCUUAUAAAAAGUUACAGAGGAAGUAGCAUAUAAGGAUCCCCAUCAGGCUCUUUUGUCGACAUGUAUAAGGAAAAAAAAAACGACCGAGGGGAACUAGCACCCGUGCCAUUUCUUUUAAUUAGAAGAAACUACCAUGAGCAGUAUCCGGGUGGGCUGGGAAGGCACUUGUGCCUCUAACCAACUGAGUGGCACUCAGUUCUCAUAGCCAUGUAUAAGAAUGUCAUUGUUCUAUGCAACUCGUUUUCAUGAUACAGUUGUAGCUCUAGAGUCAUCUCUAUGUGCACCAAAAUCUCUGAGCAAGUUGCAUGUAUUGUGGUUGUGUUGGAUUUGUAUGCCUGACAUGACUGAUGUGAUGUAGACAUGUUGACAACCCUGAUACAGUGCUAAAUAGCUUAUAAAGCUAAUGACUAAAUGCACAUUAAAGUUAGGUUCAGCAUGGGUAUGUAUUUAUUGUCUUUGCAGGGUGGCGCUUGCUGGUAUUCUGUACCAUAGCGAUGGCUUACUCUGCCUUUGACCCGCCGUAUGGAGAGCACAGAUGACACACAAAAGGAGCAAUGUUUUCGUAUUCUGUCAUCCUUAUAUAGUUACUGAAUUUUCAUAUGGUUUUUGUAUUAAAACAUUCCCCUGUAUCACUACCUCAUAUGCAGAUGUUGUUAACAUGAUACAGAAGAAAAAAGAAAAUUAGUAUCAUUCUCAUCAUCAUUUUGCCUCGAUAAAAUUAAUGGAAGGAUGCCUUAAGUGACAUAUCUGACGUUCGCAAGACCGAAAAACAUGCAAUUUGCUACAUUUUAGCUGCACUUACAACCCUGUCAAUAUUGAGACUACCUUUAACUUGUGUUUCAUGGAGCUUUUGCUCAGGCUCAAGACUUUUUGGACAUGUUUCCAGGUUUUUUAUUGAAAGCGCUUGUUUGUUCUUUUUGUCUAUCAAGUAGUAUUAGUCUUAGGAGAAAUUGUGCUUCUCUAAAUCUAUUAUAUGGGUUCAAAGUAAUGAACUACCUGUGCUCCCUCUUAAUAGUAUGGUCAGACAAGAACAAUGGUUAACUGUCUCUCAGUUCAAUUGAGAUGAUAAGUGUUUGGAGGAGCUGCAUGCACAGAGAUGAAGGCAUUCUAGUCAAACCGGAUAAGGAUAAUGUAUGCAAACAAAAUUAUGUCCAUGCCACUAAAGCCACAACCAGUGGAAGCUGCAGGGAUAUCCGAUGCUAGCUUUUGUGAUAGAAGCACCGAGAAAAAGGAACUCAGAAAGCACUGAGAGCAGAGGAGAUGGCACGCCAGAUUCAGUGUGGGCGUUGAUCUCGAGACCGGGGCAGUGAACCUGAACCUGAAGCGGGCAGAGGCAGAGCCUGAGCGCGUGGGCGCAUGUGAGCGUUGCCUAAUCCUGCAUCCACGGCAGCUCGUGACACGCUUUGCGACCUGCUUUCUUUUCGACGCCCUGUGGUGUGCCUGCAUACAUACACAACCUUUUUCUCGUUUCUUUCGUUUUGCUAGCGUGUGAUUGCUCGAAAAAUACAAGUCCAUGUCAAUAUCUUUGCAUGCUGUCAAUAAACAAAAAGAAAAGAGCUUCUGUA